AUGCAGUCGAACGGUAACAGGUCUUCGGAUGCUGACGAGUGGCGAACGGGUGAGUAAUACAUCGGAACGUGCCCGAGAGUGGGGGAUAACGAAGCGAAAGCUUUGCUAAUACCGCAUACGAUCUCAGGAUGAAAGCAGGGGACCGCAAGGCCUUGCGCUCACGGAGCGGCCGAUGGCAGAUUAGGUAGUUGGUGGGAUAAAAGCUUACCAAGCCGACGAUCUGUAGCUGGUCUGAGAGGACGACCAGCCACACUGGGACUGAGACACGGCCCAGACUCCUACGGGAGGCAGCAGUGGGGAAUUUUGGACAAUGGGCGCAAGCCUGAUCCAGCCAUGCCGCGUGCAGGAUGAAGGCCUUCGGGUUGUAAACUGCUUUUGUACGGAACGAAAGGACUCUGGUUAAUACCUGGGGUCCAUGACGGUACCGUAAGAACAAGCACCGGCUAACUACGUGCCAGCAGCCGCGGUAAUACGUAGGGUGCGAGCGUUAAUCGGAAUUACUGGGCGUAAAGCGUGCGCAGGCGGUUAUAUAAGACAGAUGUGAGAUCCCCGGGCUCAACCUGGGAACUGCAUUUGUGACUGUAUAGCUAGAGUACGGCAGA
rnacentral:rRNA from 1 species